UAUUAGUGCAUUCACUGCAUCAGCUAAGUGCUUUUGGCUCGAGUUCUGGUUUUGUGGUAGCAAAUAUGUUAGUGCUAGCAUAUGUGGUUUUGGAAGUACUGGUUCAAAUGCGUUAUGCAUCUUGAUUAGUCACUGCUGAUGGCGGGUGAGAUGCAAGAUGCAGCGUUAGUAAUAUAUUUAAUCUAUACAUGGUUUCUGAUGCAGACUAUCUGGGGACAUGGGUGGGCAUAUUGCCCAAAUGAGUAGUGAUUGGGCGGAAAUGACCAGUGAUAUAGGGCUUGAUUGUGUCUUCCCUUCUACGGUGAUAUAGGACGUGAUUGCGUCUUCCUUAUUAGCUGGAGUCUAUGUUACCUCUAAGUCUUGAUCUUUUUAAAUAAAAUGAGCAGAUAUGGUUUAUUUUGAUAGACAAAAUGGGAAUUAAAGUUGUCCACAAAAAUGAACACUGUUUAAAUUUGAUAACAGCAAUACUAUUUAGCAACAUUGAUGUUAAAAUAUCAGUCUAAGUGACAUUAAUGUAAUAUUAAAUAAGAGAGAUAAUUGAAUGAAUCAUUUAAUUCGACCUUUUAUUGAAUCUAUCACAUAACGUUAUCUAAAUUAGUGUUGCAGAACUAGUGGUGCUAGAUAGUAUUAUUCUAACACAUAAGUAUGCUGAAAUUGGAGGCUUUGUUUCUUUUUCUCAUUAAUUCUAUGCAAACACACGAUAAAAAGAUUAAAGAUGAAAGAUCAACAACCCA
rnacentral:lncRNA from 1 species